rnacentral:rRNA from 1 species
UACGGAGGGUGCAAGCGUUAUCCGGAUUCACUGGGUUUAAAGGGUGCGUAGGUGGGUUUGUAAGUCAGUGGUGAAAUCUCCAAGCUUAACUUGGAAACUGCCGUUGAUACUAUAAAUCUUGAAUGUUGUGGAGGUGAGCGGAAUAUGUCAUGUAGCGGUGAAAUGCUUAGAUAUGACAUAGAACACCAAUUGCGAAGGCAGCUCACUAACACAAAGAUUGACACUGAGGCACGAAAAGCGUGGGGAUCAAACAGG